rnacentral:rRNA from 1 species
UCUGACCUGCCCAAUGACUAUGUUUAAUGGCUGCAGUAUUUUGACUGUACAAAGGUAGCAUAAUCAUUUGUCUUUUAAUUGAAGUCUAGAAUGAAUGGUUUGAUGAAAAAUAUAUUUUCUUUAUUUUAAAAGGAAAACUUAAUCUUUUAGUUAAAAAGCUAAAAUUUAUUUGUAGGACGAGAAGACCCUAUAGAACUUUAUUUUUGAGUUUUUAUAUUUAAUAUAGGAUAUAUUUUGUGUAUAAAAAUAUUAAAUUUUGUUGGGGUGACAGAAAAAAUUUAAUAACUUUUUCUAUUUUUUUCAUUUUAAUUGUAUUGUUGAUCCUUUUUUAUGGAUGUAAGAUUAAGUUACCUUAGGGAUAACAGCGUUAUUAUUUUAGAGAGUUCAUAUCGAUAAAAUAGUUUGCGACCUCGAUGUUGGAUUAUAAUUAGAUAUAGGAGUAGAAUAUUAUAUUCUGGGUCUGUUCGACCCUUAAAUUUUUAC